UACGGGGGGGGCAAGCGUUGUUCGGAAUUACUGGGCGUAAAGGGCUCGUAGGCGGCCAACUAAGUCGGAUGUGAAAUCCCCAGGCUUAACCUGGGAACUGCAUCCGAUACUGGAUGGCUUGAAUCCGGGAGAGGAUGCGGAAUUCCAGGUGUAGCGGUGAAAUGCGUAGAUAUCUGGAGGAACACCGGUGGCGAAGGCGGCAUCCUGGACCGGCAUUGACGCUGAGGCGCGAAGCCAGGGAGCAAACGGG
rnacentral:rRNA from 1 species